GAGCAGGUUGUUCCCAGCCCUCCCCAGCCGCGCUCGGGCAGCGAGUUUCCAAUUUGCAGCUCAUCUCAAGGUCGCGGCAGAAGGCGCAGAGGGCCUGGUAGGACAUGGUGGCAGCAGAAUUGGAACCGUCGCUGGCAGUGAAUGCAGAAUGAGGAAGGGCCAAGGAGGGGAAAUUUUCCAUUCAGGGCUGGCCUCGGAGAGCUCAUGAAUACAUAAAGAGCCUGGCUUCAGCCGCAUCUGCUGCAGCUGCAGGAGCCUCGCAGGACUUAAUUCCUCAUCCUCUUCACUAGGGCAGCAAACCCAGCUGGGGCCAGCCUUAAAGGGACAGGGAGGCGCUCAAAAAACGGAGUCCAGCCUUGGCUUGGAGGUUAAGAAAAGCCCUUCCUCACCCGUGCAGGAUGCAGCUGAUGCCCACAACAGCAGUAGCUGAGCCUUGCCUGAAGCUAAAACCUUGCAGCCAGGAAUUAGAGCUGCAUGAACAUCCCUGCUCUGCAGGCAAGGAACUGCUGCCAGCACCCUGCCAGCAUUACCUGCUUUGCUUCCCCUUCUGAAGGUUUAUCUUUCUUAAUUACAAUUAAUUGCCUUUCAGUUUAAAUAAUACUACUAAUAAAAAUUAAA